AUGAUUGGACCGUCGCCGGAGAUGGAGCCGCCGGACCGGAAGAUGAAGUCAACGUUGCCGGGGGUGGUCUUCACCAAGCCAGCGUCACAAAGAACGACGAGGAGGUCGUCAUCACCACCUGCUGUCCACCUCGUCACGACGGUUCGACCAAGACGACGACACGGAGCACGCCACGACGCCGCCCACCGUCGAGGUCGCCAUGCCGAUGCCCCAGAGGUCGACGCCACGGUGGCCACCCCACUCAUCGCCGCUCGACGAGGACGACGCGUCGCCGGAGCUCGUUUUCACCAGGCCCGCGCUAUGGACGCUGACGCCACCGAGGUCGGUGCCCCGGAGGUCGGCGCCACGGUGUCCGCCCCCACUCAUCACCACUCGAUGAGGACGACACAUCGCCGGAGCUCGUCUUCACCAAGCCCGCGCUAUGGACGUCGACGCCGCCGAGGUCGGUGCCCCGGAGGUCGGCGCCAUGGUGUCCGCCCCCACUCAUCACCACUCGAUGAGGACGAUGCAUCGCCGGAGCUCGUCUUCACCAAGCCCACGCUGCGGACGCUGACACCACCAAGUUCGAUGCCCCGAAGGUCGAUGCCAUGGAGGCCGACCCCACUGAUCACCACUCGAUGA
rnacentral:rRNA from 1 species